rnacentral:misc_RNA from 1 species
GGGGUUCGGGCCCCCCUUUGGGCGCCA